rnacentral:misc_RNA from 1 species
GAUGAAGAACGUAGCGAAAUGCGAUACUUGGUGUGAAUUGCAGAAUCCCGUGAACCAUCGAGUCUUUGAACGCAAGUUGCGCCCGAAGCCAUUAGGCCGAGGGCACGCCUGCCUGGGCGUCACACGUCGUUGCCCCCCCAUCUACUCCUUCGGGAUUGCGGGGGGCGGAUGAUGGCCUCCCGUGCGCCUAGUCGCGCGGUUGGCAUAAUAGCCAAGUCCUCGGCGACGCACGCCACGACAAUCGGUGGUUGCGAAACCUCGGUUGCCCGUCGUGUGCGGUCGUCGCGCGUCGAGGGCUCGAAAAAAUUGCCGGGCUCCGGCUCGGCUUUCAACGCGACCCCAGGUCAGGCGGGGUUACCCGCUGAAUUUAAGCAUAUCAAUAAGCGGAGGA